UAAACUAGGAUUAGAUACCCUAUUAUUUUAAAAUGUUAAUAAAAUAAUUAAAUUAGUAUUAGUUAUGUUCUUGAAAAUUAAAAAAUUUGGCGGUAUUUUAGUCUAUUCAGAGGAACCUGUUCUGUAAUCGAUAGUCCACGAUUAAUUGUAUUUAUUUUAAUAAAUUUGUAUAUCAUCGUAGUUGAAUAUUUUAAAAGAAUAUUAAAUAUUCAUAGUUAAUAAUAAUUAAAAAUAUCAGAUCAAGGUGCAGUUUAUAAGUAAAGUUGAAAUGGGUUACAAUAAAAAUAUUUAUAUGGAUUUGUAAAAUGAAAUUUUCUGAGAAGGUGGAUUUGGAAGUAAUAAAGUUAAACUUAUCUUUAUGAUUAUAGCUCUAAAAUGUGUACAUAUUGCCCGUCGCUUUCAUUUAAAAUGGAAUAAGUCGUAACAAAGUAGAAGUACUGGAAAGUGUUUCUGGAAACAAAUUAGAGCUUGAUAAUAAAGCAUUUUAUUUACAUUAAAAAGUUAAUUGUGAGAUUCAAUUUAAUGAAUUUGAAUAAUUAUUAAAGUUUAAUUAAUUGUUAAAUUAUUAUUAUUUUUUAUUAAUUUUAAUUGAAAAAAUAUACGUUAUUAUAGGUAAAUAGUAUUGUGAUAGAAGAUGUUAAAAAUAUUUAAAAGAAAAAUUAAAAUUUGUACCUUGGGUAUCAGGGUUUAUUUAUAAAAUAUAAUGGAUUUUAUAUUCUCGAAAAAAAAAGAGUUAAUUUAAUAUAGAUUUUAUUGUAAAAUAAACAUUUAAAAUAUUUUAUUAGUAAUGAAAUGUUAUUCGUUUUUUUUUAUAUCUAGUUUUCUUAGAAAUGUAUUAAAUACAGUAUUUUAUUUAAAUUGUUUUUCUUUAAAAAUAUUUUUUAAAUUUAAUAAUAAUAGUUAUAGGGAUAAGCUAAUAAUUAAAUUUAUAUAAAUAAAUAAAAAAUUAAUUUUAAAUAGGAUUAGAAAUUUUUAGUUUUUAUAGUUUGUUGUAAUAAGAAUUUAUUUUUUUUUAUUAUUUUUAUUUAUUUUAUAUUGUUUAUAAGAAAUUAAAAUUAAAUUAUAAAUUUUUAGAUAUAAUGGUAAAAUUAGUAUUAUUAAAUUUAUUGUAUUUUAAGAAUUAAAGGUUAAUAAAAGGAAUUCGGCAAAUAUCUUUUUCACCUGUUUAUUAAAAACAUGGCUUUUUGAGUAAGAUUUAAAGUCUGGCCUGCCCAGUGAGUAUUUAAAUGGCUGCAGUAUUUUGACUGUACAAAGGUAGCAUAAUCAUUAGUUUUUUAAUUGAAAGCUUGUAUGAAUGGUUUCAUGAGAAAAGUUCUGUCUAUAGUUAAAUUUUUAUAGAAAUUUAUUUUUAAGUUAAAAAGCUUAAAUAUUUUUAAAAGACGAGAAGACCCUAUAGAGUUUUAUAAAUUUAUUUAUUAUAAAUUAUGAAGAAUAUAUUUUUGUAUUUUAUAAGUUUAUUUGGUUGGGGUGAUCUAAAAAUUUAAAAAACUUUUUAUUUUUUAUACAUAAAUAAGUGAAUAAUUGAUCCAUUAAUAAUGAUUAUAAGAUUAAAUUACCUUAGGGAUAACAGCGUAAUUUUUUUGGAAAGUUU
rnacentral:rRNA from 1 species